CUAAUUUAACACGAACACGCCAUUACAAAUGCAGAAGAUGCGUAACUGAAAGAGAAACCAAUCGUCGGAGUUUAUAUUUGUGAAGCUUCAGGAAUUUGGAUUUGUUGAGCUCCAGAGGUUUACUGAAAUCUGGUUCUUUGAGAAUGAUUUCAAGAAGAACAACUUGGGAUGCGAUGCCUGUGCUCCUGAUGAUUCUGAUGAGAGACUUCAGAGUCGAUUCAAUCACAUGUCAUCAAACUGAGUACAAGAUGGGAGAAAAGUGCUGUGCUAUGUGUCC